AAAAUUAUAAAUACAUUUAUAAAAUUAUAAAUACAUUUAUAAAAAUCAGAAGUUUUAAAUUAUUAUAAAAGGUUCUAAGUCAUUUAUAGAAGCUUAUACAUUAAUUUAUAAAAUGUAUUUUGAAAAUUUAUCCUCCUAUUACAAUAUUUUGAUUUUUUUUCAUUUUAAUGGUAAAAUUCCUCAACAAUGUUUACCUAGUGUAGAAACCCAUAAACUAAAGAUUUACUGGUAGUAAUAGUAAUUAUGACCUAUCAGAGUUUAAUUCAUUAAAUAAAGUUAGCUUAGGGGGGUUUUCGUUAAAUAUUAAGUUUGGAGGUUUUUGUCCAAAACAAACUUAGUUGGAGGGUUUUAACGUUAAAAUUCCUUAUUCUUUUCUUAUUAUCUAUUAUUUAAAUCUUUAUAGUGUGAUUUGUUUUAUCAAAAACCAGUUGCAAUCAACUGACGAAAUAUCUUCUUUCCUAAUAUCAUGCAUUUAAUAUUUAAAUAUAUAUAUAUAACAAGAUUUGAGUUACCAAAAUUAUGUAUAUAUUAUAACCAGAAUAUUUUUAAAAAUUUAUUAGAAGAUAUUCUAUCUCAUAGCUGAAUUAAAUUUUAUUAGAGGAUAUUAUAUCUCAUAGCUUCUCUUGAAAACUAGGUCAUUUAGAAACUUAAACUAAUUUGCUAUAUAAAUAUCGCACCACCUCCAUUAGUUUCACGCAUCUAUCUUUUAAGUUUUCAUAUGUUUUUGAUCGUUAUAAUUUAAAUUCUACUUUUGUGAUCUUGCGCAAGUGUAUGAUAAUCAAUAAGUAACUUAUAGACGGGAACACCAUUACUGGUAAUUUUAUAGGGGAUUCUUCUUCUCCGUUUAAUUUUGUUCUCUUUCUCUCCAUGUUGUGUCUCUAUCUAUAUUUUUGCAUCAGUAGUGAUUUAACUAACAAAAAGAGACGAUUCUGUUUAUCCAUGAACUUAUCAUCCCUUUCGAAAAAUGUAAUUUUUGUUUUAUAAAAUUAAAUCACUUAUCAAGAAUAUAAUAUAAGAUAUGUAUGCUAAUCAAGUGCUAUUUAUAUAUUGUGUGUGAUCCUCUUCGGUAUGUCUGAGAGCCAAAUGUAAUCUCAAAGCUUUUUAAAAACUUUGAAACUCAUUGAUGUUGUCCUAUCAAUUAUAUAAUUUGUUAUCUUUUGGUGAUUGUUUACAUCUUUAAAUAUUUUUGUUAGACUUACCUUUUUUCUGACUCAAAACUUAGAUAAGGAAACCGUAAAUCAUUUCUGCUAUUACAAUGAAACCAAUGAUAAUAAAUUUCAGGUAAUUCAAAUAUCUCUUUUAUAUUUCAUGGCUGAUUUUUUUAUUGGGGUUAUGCGUGAAAUAUUUAUUUUUUUUCUCAAUUAUAUUUUUCUGAUGUUUUAAGAUUAGUGUUAAAUGUGAUCGUUUUCUAAACGUUCUAAUGUAUUCUUUGUUCAUAUGAACAUAGUAUAAAUAUCAAUAUAUAACAUCGAAUCUUUCAUAUUAACCAUAUACAUGUAACAUAAAUAUUAUAUAGUUGUAAAUAUAAUAUCAAUUUAAUAUUAAUGUUAGUGUCCGCACAUGUCCACCUAGUAUUUCAUUAAACAUAGACAUGAAAACGACUUAUGUAAUUAACGUAUACAAUCCGUCAAUCAACAGUUUUAAUGAGUCUUAACCCUUGUAGUUGCCAACAAAAAG